GCCUCGGUAGCGUAGUGGUCAAGACGCUCGCCUCAGGAGGGCGUGGGUUCGAUCCCAGCCGAGGCA
rnacentral:tRNA from 1 species